GGUUUGUGGUGUAAUGGUUAGCACUUUGGACUUUGAAUCCAGGGAUCCGAGUUCAAGUCUGGGCAGAACCU